rnacentral:rRNA from 1 species
AUUGAACGCUAGCGGCAUGCCUAACACAUGCAAGUCGAACGAGUGGCGGACGGGUGAGUAAUGUAUGGGAACGUGCCUGGUAGCGGGGGAUAACUACUGGAAAGGGUGGCUAAUACCGCAUACAAUUGGAUCUGCCCAUAGGGGAUUAGCGAGUUGGUGGGGUAACGGCUCACCAAGGCGACGAUCCGUAGCUGGUUUGAGAGGAUGACCAGCCACACUGGGACUGAGACACGGCCCAGACUCCUACGGGAGGCAGCAGUGGGGAAUAUUGGACAAUGGGCGCAAGCCUGAUGCAGCCAUGCCGCGUGUAUGAAGAAGGCCUUCGGGUUGUAAAGUACUUUUGGCAGAGAAGCGGUAUCUGCAGAAGAAGCACCGGCUAACUACGUGCCAGCAGCCGCGGUAAUUC